CAUGUAGCCAAGCUGUAGCAGGCUACGGAUGGUUGUUACAUUUUAGAUGUAGUAAAUUGCGGUUAUAUGUUUCCUUUUCGUCGGAAAACGUUAACGUACAGAAAGAGAUAAAAGGAGCAAUUGAUCAAAAGGAUCAUAGUAUAGAAAUUGAUCAAAAAGAAAAAAAAUCAUAGAAGAAAAAAAUAAAAAUUGUUACCGGAAGUUUGUCGGUAAGUAGACUAAAAACCCACGUGACAUUUAUCAUGUUGUUAAUACGCCCGUUAAUACGUUUAUAGUCGUAUUUAAUAAGAAUGGGAGGCCUCGAUAUAUUUAAAAUUAUUAUUUAUUUAUUUGUUCUACUUUCGAUAUUAGAGGAGCGUAUCAUGAUAUUGAUACAUUCACGAAAGGUGUGGUUUGAGCUAUCAAGAGAUUAGCAGGCAGUGUUAGGUUGUUAUAAGCUUAUAUUUGGCACGAUAACGGCCGAUCAUAUAUUUACUAAAACUCGUUAAAACUAAAAUGAGGUGUACUAGCAUUCUUACGUCAAAUUGACUUAAAAUAGUUAUUUGCUUUUGUGAUGAUGGCAUACAUCACAGUGUAGAAUAU